AUUGAACGCUGGCGGCAUGCCUUACACAUGCAAGUCGAACGGUAACGCGGGGCAACCUGGCGACGAGUGGCGAACGGGUGAGUAAUGUAUCGGAACGUGCCCAGUUGUGGGGGAUAACUGCUCGAAAGAGCAGCUAAUACCGCAUACGACCUGAGGGUGAAAGCGGGGGAUCGCAAGUCCUCGCGCAAUUGGAGCGGCCGAUAUCAGAGUAGGUAGUUGGUGGGGUAAAGGACCGCCAAAACAACGAUCUGCAGCUGGUCUGAGAGGACGACCAGCCACACUGGGACUGAGACACGGCCCAGACGCCUACGGGAGGCAGCAGUGGGGAAUUUUGGACAAUGGACGCAAGUCUGAUCCAGCCAUGCCGCGUGCGGGAAGAAGGCCUUCGGGUUGUAAACCGCUUUUGUCAGGGAAGAAACGCACUGGGUUAAUACCUCGGGGUAAUGACGGUACCUGAAGAAUAAGCACCGGCUAACUACGUGCCAGCAGCCGCCGUAAAAC
rnacentral:rRNA from 1 species